GCGUCUUUAGUUCAGUUGGUAGAACAUAGGUCUCCAAAACCUAGUGUCGA
rnacentral:tRNA from 2 species